UGGGGAAUCUUGCACAAUGGGGGAAACCCUGAUGCAGCGACGCCGCGUGAGCGAUGAAGCCCUUCGGGUUGUAAACCGCUUUCGGCCGGAACGAAAUCGGCGGGAUGAAUAGUCUCGCUGGAUGACGGUACCGGAAGAAGAAGCACCGGCUAACUACGUGCCAGCAGCCGCGGUAAUACGUAGGGUGCGAGCGUUAAUCGGAAUUACUGGGCGUAAAGCGUGCGCAGGCGGCCGCGUAAGCCAGAGGUGAAAUCCCCGGGCUCAACCUGGGAAUGGCCUUUGGGACUGCGUGGCUCGAGUGCGGCAGAGGGGGGUGGAAUUCCUGGUGUAGCAGUGAAAUGCGUAGAUAUCAGGAGGAACACCGAUGGCGAAGGCAGCCCCCUGGGCCAGCACUGACGCUCAUGCACGAAAGCGUGGGGAGCAAACAGGAUUAGAUACCCUGGUAGUCCACGCCCUAAACGAUGACGACUAGUUGUCGGAGGGUAACUCCUUCGGUAACGCAGCUAACGCGUGAAGUAGACCGCCUGGGGAGUACGGUCGCAAGAUUA
rnacentral:rRNA from 1 species